GAUGAACGCUAGCUACAGGCUUAACACAUGCAAGUCGAGGGGAAACGACAUCGAAAGCUUGCUUUUGAUGGGCGUCGACCGGCGCACGGGUGAGUAACGCGUAUCCAACCUGCCCACCACUUGGGGAUAACCUUGCGAAAGUAAGACUAAUACCCAAUGAUAUCCCACGAAGGCAUCCGAAUGGGAUUAAAGAUUUAUCGGUGAUGGAUGGGGAUGCGUCUGAUUAGCUUGUUGGCGGGUAACGGCCCACCAAGGCAACGAUCAGUAGGGGUUCUGAGAGGAAGGUCCCCCCANAUUGGAACUGAGACACGGUCCAAAACUCCUACGGGAGGCAGCAGUGAGGAAUAUUGGGUCAAUGGGCGAGAGCCUGAACCAGCCAAGUAGCGUGCAGGACGACGGCCCUAUGGGUUGUAAACUGCUUUUAUAAGGGAAUAAAGUGAGUCUCGUGAGACUUUUUGCAUGUACCUUAUGAAUAAGGACCGGCUAAUUCCGUG
rnacentral:rRNA from 1 species